CCCUGCUGUGGCUCUGCCCGCUGGAGCUUGGUCACCACCGUGCCAGGAGCCCCUGGACCUGAUGGUGCCCGGAAGGCGCCACCCGGCCAGGUCCCGGAGCUCCGGACCCUACUGUCCCAGGAGCUGGGGGCGGUUCCCGGUGCUUUCCCUCAGGUGCCCACAGGAUGGCGCCUUCACCCCUUCGGGUCUUUGCCCCUCCUGUGUUGAUCUAGUCCACUGCAGCUGCGCAGAACCAGCUGUGCCUUCUGCUGUUCCUCUCCUCCCCGGCACCCAUGCAGGACUCUGUUUACUGUGUGUUUCUCCCCGCCACAGCCCAACCCCUAAGAGAACGAGGCUGCACUGCCUUUGUGAAUCCCCUGUGUCUGGGCACGAAUGCGGUGUGAACUGUCGUGUGGUCAGUGUCCAGUGAAUGAGAAUGACUGGACAUUGUAUCCUUGAGGAAGAGGAAGGACAUCAUUGAGACGUAACGCUGCUUCUCUGACAUCUAAUCAGGGUCUCACUCUGCAGUUCAGGCUGGCCUUGAGAUCACUUUGUAACCCAGGCUGGUCUCUAACUUGCAACGAUCCUCCUGCCUCAGCCUCCUAAGUGCUGGGAUUACAGGCGUGCACUACCACGACCGGCUCACAGGCCCCAGCGAUGUCCAGGAGCUCAGAGGAGUGAGACUGCUCAUGUCAGAUGGGUCUGACUGGAAGCUGCUCUUGACCCAGUUGUGCGGCGGGUCAAUAAGCAUCGUGAUAGAACUGGUUCUCCGAGCAUGGAUUUUACUCCCAGCAUGGUCUGAUGAGAUAAACUCUCUAAGAUAAACACUCUGGAUUCUGAUGAGGCCCAUCACUGGGUCCAGCCAAGGGCAGCCUGGAGCCAGGGCCGGUGAGGCCAAGUUGGGAGUGGGGCUGAUUCCAGAGUUUGCUACGGUGUGCAAAGGAGUCACCGCGCAGUGUCACACACACUUGCUGGCCCUCUGCUGAGCCUUCCUGAGCAGGAGGAAAGCGAAUCCACUGCAAUUGUACAUUCUGAAGACAUCAGAGCCUCUUCUCUGCUAAACAGCAUGGCGCUACAUGCAUAGGGAGGUGUGAGGCCUUCCCUGGCUGCUGGGCCAGCUUAAGACAUGAAAAGAUGAGACUGUGGCCCUUCCAGGGGAGAACCACCAGUGUCUCCUGAGAUCUGCGCCAUGUUGGAACUUAGGACCCUGGGACACCGAGCAAGCAGCUCACCUCUCUGCAAAUGGGAACCAGAAAUCUGAGCAUCUCCUGGGAGGUUGACCAUAGCAAAUAAGGGAGAUUUUCUUCUACCAUUUCUUUGAAGGCAAGUAUUUUUAUUACUGUUCUGCUUUAUUCUGAUUAAUGGUACUGCUCUAUUCAAUAUUCUGUUUUGAUAAGUUCUAUAAUGUUCUGUAUUUCAUUUUAUUUUGAUAUACGUGAUUGAAAGAACAACUAUUAUAAAGACAAUGAAAUAUACUGUGAUACCUAUUACUGUUAAAAAAAAAAAAAAGACAUGGGGGCCCGGGGAUAUAGCUCAGUGGCAUAAGUGCCUGCCUGGCAAGCCCGAGGUCCUGAGUUCGAUCUCUGGUACAAAAAAAAAAAAAAAAAAAAAAAGACAUGAAAAGAUGUUCAUUGCACAAUGCCAAGCUUGAAAAAACGGUGGGGUAUGAAAUGGCUUAUUCAGAAUAAUCCCAGUCUUGCUAUUUAUAAAAACACCUGCACCAAAAUGUUGAUAAUAGCUUUGUUUUGGGGACUCCAUUUUCAGCUACUUUUCAGUAUUUUUCAAAUACUUACAAUGUGUGUGAAUGACAUCAAGAGGUCACAUGACUGAAUUUUUAUAAGAUGUAAAACCCGUGAUUGUAGACAUGGAAUAAUUCCUCCCCCAGAAAUCCCCGUCCACUUUCCCGGAGUUCCCAGCUCGUCUUGCUUCAUGCCUGCCACCUGACUCCCCUCCUGUUGUAGGGUUAUUUUUUGAUUAACAGACUCAGUUCUUUUUUUUGGUACCA